rnacentral:lncRNA from 1 species
AGAGUACAGGUGGAUCAUUUUUUGCUUGAGAAUUUGAAGAUCCAUAUUGCCUUUAAUUGCUUGAGAAAAUAUUCAAUGUAACAUUAUCCUUACUGCUACUCAUAACACCAAAUUUAAAAAUUAGUAGUGUUGAGCAAUCUAAUUUAAAAAAUUUAAUUGCUUGAGCAAUCUUUUGAAGAUACUUGCUAAAAAUUUAAUAAACAUGGAAGAAAAAAUUAGUAAUGCUGAUUUUAAAGCUGAAAUGUACUUUAAAAGUUUCUCGCAACAUCUGCCCAAUGUCCCCCACCUAUGUGUCAGUCCAUCACUUCUACAAGGUAUAAAGUUGCGCAUGGAACAGCCACACAUAUAGCAUAGUAUAACACCAGAAAUAGCAGACAACAAUACAAUGGAAAUUUUACCCCCUCUUUGGUAAAUUGGAGGGAGACAGAUCUAGCUUACAUACUCUGUUGAUACUAUAACAACUAAGGGUUACUGGGAAACCAAUUACAUCUGAUAAAAGUGUUGUCUAUGCACAAGAUUGCCAUAUAUAAUAAACCAUACUGCAAACAGAGCCAAAUGAAUCAGCUACUUGAAUUUCUUUUAUGCAAGAAAAAUGGGAGACAAUUCUGGGGCAGGGAGGCAAAUUCUGCUUCAAAUUAUUUCCUAGACAAUUCCAAUAUUUAAAUAGAAUAAGCACCACGCAUACCUCAGUUCCAAGGGGAUUAGCACCAUAGUUCAAUCAGUUUAUAAAGUUUUUAAAGAGAAUAAACACCAUAGAUACCUUAAUGCCAAGAGGAUUAGCAACUCCUCUUAAAAAUUCUACGUGGGCACCAUCCAGUUGCCUUGUGCGCUCUCCAACCCAGAGCAUGUGAGCAGAGCAAUCAUAGAAAAGUCCAGAAGUUGAAUCCUCCCUGGUAAGUGCUUGCUCAUAAGGUAAUAGUAAGCAUUCGUGGGAUGUCCAAAAUUCAGUUGAUGACAUGAUAGGGUGGUCAAUAGUAAGUCCGGCAGCAGCCAUGAACCCUAAGGCUUCAUCAACCCUGUGAGCCAGUUCUUGAUACCUGCCAAACAAUCCAGUAGCACACAUAACAUGUUAAGAAAGUUUGAAGGACAGUUCCAAGUACAAAUUGCCAUAUGCACUAAGUCUGACAAAGUAGAUGCUAAAAUGGUUGAAGGGCUUCUUGUCUGAACCAUAUAAUUCCUCCAUCUUCUAAAAACUUAGUCAAAAAAAGAAUUGAGAAUGCCAAGAAUUGGUAAUCUGAGAUGUCCUAAAACUUCUCUCUGUUCCUAAAUUCUUUCACACACCUAUCUCCCUGUUCACUGUGCUCCACAAAAUCAAGAUUCCACUCCGUGACCCUCUGCAUUGCAGCAUAACCACCAGUAGCAAAGGCCCUUAGAAGAUUGAGAGUUGCAGCAGAUUGGCAGUAGGCCCUUAUCAAUCUCUGAGGAUCUGGAAGUCUCGAUUUCUCAUCAAAAGCAUCACCGUUGAUAUUGUCUCCCUUAUAACUAGGCAGCUUUACACCAUCCUUCUCUUCAAAAGGGUCUGACCUUGGUUUUGCAAACUGUCCCGCCAUUCUUCCAACCUACAUACAUUUAAUUGUCACCACUAGUUAAUACCACCAGAAUCAAUUUGAUCUUAAUAUACAACAAAAAUAACAAUGAACUUGCAAAUAGACUUGAACUUCCAUCAAACAGCUAUUCCAUCUUCCACACACAAACCACCACCCCCCCCCCCUCCAAAAAAAUAAAAACCAAAAGAAGAAGAAGAAGAAGUGGUGGCAGCAUAUCAUAAUGUUAUACCAGACUCGUAUGAAAAUUUGAGCAUAAGAUAACUUUGGACACCUAAAAUAACUCUUUUAAAAGUUUUCAGACAUUCCUAUAAUUACUAGCGCUGACAUUAGCGGCUAAAGACUUCUACACACUCUCCCUUUGAAGAACGCAUCUCUAACUAAAAAGCAAGAAGUUCCUGUCUGACCUUUAAUGUAAUCAUUCAUAUUGCAGUAGUACUAAAUCUCAACUGACAAUUACACUAAUGAAACACAAAUUUAAAUACAUAUUCAUAUCCACCAAUAACAAGACCAAAUCAAACAAUUCAAAAAAAGUGAUCUUGAUCGCGUACAAAUACCUUAAUAACAGCAAAUAGAAAGAACCCAUUUCAUCUCCAGUAGAAAUAAAUAGCAGAAAACAAUAAAAGCGAGAUUGAUUGGAUAUGGAUAGGGAUACAUUUACCUUAAUCACAGGCAUUUGACCACCAAACAUGAGAACAACACUCAUCUGAAGAAGAAUUCUGAAAGUAUCCCGUGUAUUAUUAGCAUUAAACUCCUUGAAGCUCUCAGCACAAUCCCCACCUUGCAACAAGAAAGCAUUCCCCAACGCAGCCUCAGCAAGCUUCUCCUCCAAAUUCCUAGCUUCACCAGCAAAGACCAAUGGAGGAUAAGCCUCAAUAAUUUCAAGAACCGAUUUCAACUCUUCUUGAUUUGGGUACUCAGGCAGCUGCAAAGCCUUCUUGGUUUUCCAGCUAUCCACACUCCAUUUCCCUGGUCUAGCCGCCACAGAUGGCGCAGCCUUGGUAGCAGCAGUGGAUGUAACAGGGGUCUUAGCUGGCUCCGACGCGUGAACGGCAGAAAUGGGGUGGCGGAUUUUGGGUUGCGGGAGGCUGUUGGCGGUGGAGCUUGGGAGGAGGAAAGCUAAACUGGGCUGAUGGGGUUGGUUGUAGGAGGGAAGAAGUGAUUUUGAAGCUAAAGCUGAGGUGUUUGAUAAAGCCAUUGUUUUUCUCCCUGAAUUUCUUCAGAAAUUCUUGCUCUUUUUGUUCA